GACGAACGCUGGCGGCGUGCUUAACACAUGCAAGUCGAACGGAAAGGCCCUGCUUUUGUGGGGUGCUCGAGUGGCGAACGGGUGAGUAACACGUGAGUAACCUGCCCUUGACUUUGGGAUAACUUCAGGAAACUGGGGCUAAUACCGGAUAGGACCUCCUGCUGCAUGGUGGGGGUUGGAAAUUUUCGGCGGUUGGGGAUGGACUCGCGGCUUAUCAGCUUGUUGGUGGGGUAGUGGCUUACCAAGGCUUUGACGGGUAGCCGGCCUGAGAGGGUGACCGGCCACAUUGGGACUGAGAUACGGCCCAGACUCCUACGGGAGGCAGCAGUGGGGAAUAUUGCACAAUGGGCGGAAGCCUGAUGCAGCAACGCCGCGUGCGGGAUGACGGCCUUCGGGUUGUAAACCGCUUUCGCCUGUGACGAAGCGUGAGUGACGGUAAUGGGUAAAGAAGCACCGGCUAACUACGUG
rnacentral:rRNA from 1 species